GACGAACCGUGCGAACGUUGUUCGGAUUCACUGGGCUUAAAGGGCGCGUAGGCGGCCCGCCGCGUCCGGGGUGAAAUCCUCCCGCUCAACGGGAGAACGGCCUCGGAUACGGGCGGGCUGGAGGCGGGUAGGGGCACGCGGAACUGUGGGUGGAGCGGUGAAAUGCGUUGAUAUUCACAGGAACUCCGGUGGCGAAGGCGCGGUGCUGGACCUCAUCUGACGCUGAGGCGCGAAAGCCAGGGGAGCGAACGGG
rnacentral:rRNA from 1 species